CCCAAAUUAACGACUCAAAGUGCCCAUAAAUUUACUUACGAAAUCGACACCUCCAGUACCAUAAAAAAUGAAGAGUGCAAUAUUAAAUCCAAUUCAGGAUGCCAAGAUAACGAAAUAUGCGUCGCUAAGCGUGGCAUCCCCAGAUGUCAUUGCGCCUCCAAUUACAUUAGGAUUUACCCAUCAUCUCUAUGCAUAAAAUUCAAAGAAAGAGUCUUAUACGUCGAAGUAUUAAAACCAAACAAGGAACCGUUUGAAUUUGAAUCGCCUCUCUUUAACAGAUCUUCCUUCAUCGUCAAAGAAUUGUACAAAAAAGCCCAAUUGGGAGUAAA